GCGGCGGAAGCCGGGAACAUAUGGUCCGGGGACCCGCAGAGCCCGGCCUGCUGCAGGCCUUCCACAGCGGACUCGCGUUCCUGGCCUGACCCCCGAUGAUCGCUGCGGGCAGCCCCCGAGGAGGAUGUGAUUCAAGGGACCUGUAGGUGGAGGAUCGUGGCGCUGCGGACGCAUUCUUGCUGCCAGGAAAGGGGCCAUUUGCGUGGAGGGCGUCAGCACCACCCAGAGAUGAGAGGGGACUUGGGGCGCUCCAGAAAUCAAAAGGAUGGCUCUCGGGACCACCCCACAAGUAGCCAGGAGACCUCAUGCCAUGGACAGUGCUCAGAGACUUUCAUACGGUUCUUGAAAGUAACUUCUCUUUAUGAGUAAUUAGAAUAAGAAUAGCUCAUUUAAGUGCUAGGAACAAUAUUUUGCAUACAUUAAUUAGGUCCAAUUCUCUUAACAACUCUGAGGUGGGUAUUUUCAUUCAUCAUUUUCGUAUAAGGAAACCUAGGUUGUUGGACGUUUAGCGUAUCUUGCUUCCGGACACACAGCCCAGUCACAGAUCUGCUCUGUACCAGGCAGUCCCUGCCUCUCACCCCUCCAGUUUGUUCUUUUAACUCUGGCCAGCUACCCCAACGGGGGGAAAGAUAAUUGAAAAGGAAAGGAUCUCUGUACUAGUGUUGAAGUGAGGAAGCGGGCAUGGGCAACAGCUGCUGAGGCCUGAGAACGUCAGUGAAGAAUUUCCUGAGGAGGGGAAACUUGAUCUGAACUUGAAUAGAGAGCCUAGGAAGGAGGGGCUCCAUUAGCUGAACUAUGCCUCUGACUCCUUCAAGGUUUUAGGAGAUGUAAGCUUCCCAACCCCCUUCUCCAGUGCUGGGGAAAGGACCAUGUUAUCAAAGAUAUCACCUCCCUUCUUUUCUGGCAGCCCCUAAGUCCUGGGCACCCUGCAGGCCAGCCACCCUAAAUGCCAGUUCAAGAGCCAUCAUCUCUUGCCUAGAUGCUGCAGAAGCCUCGUCCCUAUUCCUGCCUGGCUCCUUUCUUCCAUCCUGCAGCCACGGUGGCCUAACUACAUGCUAAUCAACAGCCUAAAACCCUUCCAUGGCUCUCCACUGCCUUUGGGAUAAUGUUCCAACUCCCUACCCUGGCAUAGAAAGCCCUUCAUGAUGUGUUUAUUGCCAUAUCUCUGCCUUAGACUUUUCCCUAAAGUUUACAUAAAAGCAAUAUGGAAGGGACCAAAGGUAUAAGUAGACUGAGCCACAAGGCAGAUAAAAGCUGUGAGAGCAGUUUGGAGUGGGAAGCUGGUAGGCGGCAAAGAAGCACAACGAUACAGGAAGAGAGGCAGAGACAAAGACCACCAGUCAAAGUAAUCAUGAGGCUGGGUUGGGGUCACUGCUGAGGGGUUAAGGCAGCCCAAGAGCUGUCCCACACCCAGAGUGAGCCCCCAUGCCUGAGUCCCAGUCCAGCCAACAGGAGCCCAGCUGUAAAGCUGUUUCUGGUUUCCCACGAGAUUCCCAAGUCCCUUCUCUAUUCUUGAAAUAACUCCCAAUUACUUGAAGUAGCCUGAAUGAACCAAAAAAGCCUAAUAUGAUAAAGAUGGUAAUUGAAGCCAUAGCUGUGGAUGUAAACUUCCCGGAGAACAUGUAGAAUGAGAACAGAAGAUUGUCUAAGAAUGGAGGAGUUAGGGGGGCAGCCAGGCUUCCAGGGGCAAGGGACUAAGAGGGAGUGCAGAGUGCAAAGAGGACAAUCCAGCAGGAGGUUGACCACCCCUGGUAUUUAAGGGGUGGAUAGAAAAAGACAACAAGGAGAAAGAGAAUGAGAGAGAAUGGCAAGUGAAAUAGAGGAAAACUAGAAAUU